rnacentral:misc_RNA from 1 species
AGAGAGAGAGAGAGAGAGAGAGAGACAGAGAGAGUAGACGAUUCUACGACGAACGAGCAGCCCGAGAUACCGCCACCGCCCGUUCAGUACGAAGUGAUCGACUCCGCAUCGACGCGUGGCCGCCCCAAGCUAGCAGACGAUCGUGGAUUCACGUACACCUCGUACAGGCGUAGUGACGUCACGACCACGUGGCGCUGUAGAGUUCGAAAUAACCACGCAAUGUGCUUGGCACGCGUUAAACAGAAUAACGAUAGGUUCCUGAUGCCCCCGUGUGUUGGCCAGAAAGGUGACCCAUCUGUGACAUCAUAACUACUAAGUCAAUUACUAGUCUCUGUCAUGUGUGUAUCUUGUAUUUUUUAUACCUACUAAUACAUAGUGUUUGCUUGGUGUUUGCCGGAAAGGUGUCCCCACCUACCUCUGGGACAUCAAAAAAUCACUCACUAGUCGCUGGUAUGUACGUGUGUAUCUUGUAUUUUUCAUACCUACUAAUACAUAAUUAUAGUGUUUGUUUGGUGUUUGCUGGAAAGGUGACCCCACCUACCUCUGGGACAUCACAGUCACAUCUACAGUAUAUUAUGGCAGGCUAAUUGUACCAUAGACCCGAGGUAAGCACUAUACAUGCAAUGGAGUUAAAUAAAUAAAUUUAUAAGUAUAAGUACUCCCUUUCUCAUAUAUAAUAAGUUUAAUCUGAACAGUAUAAUAAACUUAUAAUUAAUUUAAUUAAACUAUAUUAUGAUUAAUAUGAAAAGCACAGCCCAGUUAUAUUUCAUUAGAUAGAACGUAUAUACGUAUCACCAAGAUGGUUUUGUCAUUGUACUAAUUCCAAUAACGGUAAUUAAUUUAAUGCUCGUUUUUGGAGGGGUUCUUCAUAAUAAUUGCUUAUAUUAUGUAAAACUUAGAUUUGCAUACGUAUAUAUUUUCAGGUUUAUCGCAUUAAGGCAGCCAACUACAGCAUAGCAGUCAACCUUUGAUUAGGGCUUCAUCCUAUAUUUUCAUUGUCAAAAUCAGCUUAUUAUUUUUAUAUUUGCUAAAUUCAUUGGCAUUGUUAAUAAGUAAUUUUCACUGGAAGAAAUGUUUACUUGACCACCUUGUAUAAACAUCGAUAUCAUUGAUCCUCCUUAAAAUGUUCUUUUGUAAAUUCAAGUUCAAUAGAAAUUAGGAUAUACAGAUAUAGAUAUACAGUAUACAUAUCAUUAUUAAACAUAUGUUUGUAUCUUGAGCUAAACAAAAUAAUGUUAUGCAUUUCUGUUUUUAUUGCUCGUUGAUAUUCACUAUCGUUGAUACAAUACACACUAGGAAUAUAUAUAUACUGAAUAACAUACGGCUAAACGAUUAGGUUCCAAUCC